GACGAACGCUGGCGGCGUGCUUAACACAUGCAAGUCGAACGGAGUUUACAGGCGGAAGCCUUCGGGUGGAAGGCUGUAAACUGAGUGGCGGACGGGUGAGUAACGCGUGAGCAAUUUGCCCUUUGGAGGGGAAUAACAGCCGGAAACGGUUGCUAAUACCGCAUAAGACACGUUGGAGGCAUCUCUGAUGUGUGAAAGGAGAAAUCCGCCAAAGGAUGAGCUCGCGUCCCAUUAGGUAGUUGGUGAGGUAACGGCUCACCAAGCCGACGAUGGGUAGCCGGACUGAGAGGUUGGCCGGCCACACUGGAACUGAGACACGGUCCAG
rnacentral:rRNA from 1 species